rnacentral:rRNA from 1 species
GAUGAACGCUGGCGGCGCGCCUAACACAUGCAAGUCGAACGAUUAAAGCACCUUCGGGUGUGUAUAAAGUGGCGAACGGCUGAGUAACACGUGGGCAACCUGCCCCUCUCAUUGGGAUAGCCACGGGAAACCGUGGAUAAUACCCAAUACUUCGGGACUUCCGCAUGGAAGACUCGAGAAAGCUCCGGCGGAGAGGGAUGGGCCCGCGGCCUGUUAGCUUGUUGGUGGGGUAAUGGCCUACCAAGGCAAUGAUGGGUAGCUGGGUUGAGAGACCGACCAGCCAGAUUGGGACUGAGACACGGCCCAGACUCCUACGGGAGGCAGCAGUGGGGAAUCUUGCACAAUGGGCGAAAGCCUGAUGCAGCGACGCCGCGUGCGGGAUGAAGGCCUUCGGGUUGUAAACCGCUUUCAGCAGGGACGAGGCGAAAGUGACGGUACCUGCAGAAGAAGCCCCGGCUAACUACGUG